rnacentral:rRNA from 1 species
CCAGACUCCUACGGGAGGCAGCAGUGGGGAAUAUUGGGCAAUGGGCGCAAGCCUGACCCAGCAACGCCGCGUGAAGGAAGAAGGCUUUCGGGUUGUAAACUUCUUUUCUUGGGGACGAAGAAAGUGACGGUACCCAAGGAAUAAGCCACGGCUAACUACGUGCCAGCAGCCGCGGUAAUACGGGGGGUGCAAGCGUUGUCCGGAAUCAUUGGGCGUAAAGAGUUCGUAGGCGGCACGUAAAGUCUGGUGUUAAAGGCAGAGGCUCAACUUCUGUACGGCACUGGAUACUUGCGAGCUAGAAUGCGGUAGAGGUAAAGGGAAUUCCUGGUGUAGCGGUGAAAUGCUUAGAUAUCAGGAGGAACAUCGGUGGCGUAAGCGCUUUACUGGGCCGUAAUUGACGCUGAGGAACGAAAGCCAGGGUAGCAAAUGGGAUUAGAUACCCCCGUAAAC